rnacentral:rRNA from 1 species
GACGAACGCUGGCGGCGUGCCUAAUACAUGCAAGUUGAGCGAUGAAGAUUGGUGCUUGCACCAAUUUGAAGAGCAGCGAACGGGUGAGUAACGCGUGGGGAAUCUGCCUUUGAGCGGGGGACAACAUUUGGAAACGAAUGCUAAUACCGCAUAACAACUUUAAACAUAAGUUUUAAGUUUGAAAGAUUCAAUUGCAUCACUCAAAGAUGAUCCCGCGUUGUAUUAGCUAGUUGGUGAGGUAAAGGCUCACCAAGGCGAUGAUACAUAGCCGACCUGAGAGGGUGAUCGGCGACAUUGAGACUGAGACACGGCCCAAAAUCCUACGGGAGGCAGCAGUAGGGAAGCUUCGGCAAGGGACGAAAGUCUGACCGAGCAACGCCGCGUGAGUGAAGAAGGUUGUAGGAUCGUAAAACUCGGUUGGUAGAGAAGAACGUUGGUGAGAGUGGAAAGCGCAUCAAGUGACGGUAACUACACAGAAAGGGACGGCUAACUACGUG